rnacentral:rRNA from 1 species
UCGGAGACGGUGCUCGUGCGGGCGGUGAUGCGACACGCGUAUCCGAAAGACUCUCGGCAACGGAUAUCUCGGCUCUUGCAUCGAUGAAGAACGUAGCGAAAUGCGAUACUUGGUGUGAAUUGCAGAAUCCCGUGAACCAUCGAGUCUUUGAACGCAAGUUGCGCCCGAAGCCAUUAGGCUGAGGGCACGCCUGCCUGGGUGUCGCCCAUCGUUGCCCCAUUGCUUUGGCCUCGUGAUAGGCACCGAGCUGGGCGAAUGCUGGCUUCCCGCGAGCAACGCCUCACGGUUGGUUGAAAACUGAGUCCGUGGUGGAGGGCGGCGCCGUGACGGAUGGUGGUUGUU